AGUUCAAGUGAACAAGGGCGUACGGGGGAUGCCUAGGCUCCAGGAGGCGAAGAAGGACGUGCCAAGCUGCGAUAAGCUGUGGGGACCGGCACAGUCGGGUCGAUCCACAGAUUUCCGAAUGGGGCAACCCACCCUGACUUGUCAGGGUAUUCCCAUCGCAAGAUGGAGAAAGCGAACGCGGGGAACUGAAACAUCUAAUUACCCGCAGGAAGAGAAAACAAAUAGUGAUUCCGUCAGUAGCGGCGAGCGGACGCGGAAUAGCCCAAACCGUAUAUGUUACGGCAUAUGCGGGGUUGUAGGACCUGCAUGAUCGAAAUAAAACAGACCCGAACAGCCUGGGAAGGCAGACCGGAGAGGGUGAGAGUCCCUUAGGGGAAUGUUUUAUAGAGAGGCGGGAAUCCUGAGUAGGCCGGGACGGGAGAAAUCCCGGUUGAAACAGCCGGCACCAUCCGGCAAGGCUAAAUACUCCCUGGAGACCGAUAGUGAACGAGUACCGUGAGGGAAAGGUGAAAAGUACCGUGAAUAACGGGGUGAAAAGAACCUGAAACCGUGCGCCUACAAGCGGUCGGAGUCCUGACUUGUCAGGAUGACGGCGUGCCUUUUGCAUAAUGAGCCUACGAGUUGCUCCUCACCGGCAAGGUUAACCGUGUAGACGCGGGGAGCCGCAGCGAAAGCGAGUCCGAACAGGGCGUUAUAGUCGGUGGGGGCAGACGCGAAACUUAGUGAUCUACCCAUGGCCAGGUUGAAGCUCUGGUAAAACAGAGUGGAGGACCGAACCGAUAAGCGUUGAAAAGCUUCCGGAUGAGCUGUGGGUAGGGGUGAAAGGCCAAUCAAACUGAGAAAUAGCUCGUACUCCCCGAAAUGUUUUUAGGAACAGCGUCGGGAAUUGUAUCGUGGAGGUAGAGCUACCGAUAGGACUAGGGGGAGUCACAUCCUACCAAAUCCUGACGAACUCCGAAUGCCACGCUACAGAACCGGCAGUGAGGGCUUGGGUGCUAAGGUCCAAGUCCGAGAGGGAAAGAACCCAGACCUACCGCUAAGGUCCCGAAAUCCGCGCUAAGUUGAACAAAGGCGGUCCAGCUGCAGAGACAGCCAGGAGGUUAGCUUGGAAGCAGCUAUUCCUUUAAAGAGUGCGUAACAGCUCACUGGUCGAGCGGCAGGGCGUCGAUAAUAAUCGGGCAUCAAGCGCGGUACCGAAGCGAAGGACUAUAUCCUGAUUUAUCGGGAGUAUUGGUAGGGGAGCAUUCCGGCGGCGGUGAAUCCAAUUGGCGAUGAUUGGUGGAGCUUCCGGAAAAGCAAAUGUAGGCAUAAGUAACGAUAAUGGAUGGGAACAACAUCCACACCGCAAGACCAAGGAUUCCUGAUCAACGCUAAUCGGAUCAGGGUCAGUCGGGACCUAAGGAUAACCCGAAGGGGGAUUCCGAUGGCAAAUGGGUUAAUAUUCCCAUACCGCACAUACAGGUGAUGGGGUGACGGAGUGAUGAAAAGGCCGCCCGGUGACGGAAUACCGGGUUAAAGGGCGUAGGUAUUGGAGGUGUAGUUAAAUGCGCACCUUUAGCCGAACCUGAUAGUACCGAGCGUCUUCGGACAAUCGGAUAGUGUCUGUAAGAACUUCCAAGAAAAACCUCUGGCGUUAAGCGUAUGUGCGCCCGUACCGCAAACCGACACAGGUGGUCGGGGAGAGUAUCCCAAGGUGCUCGAGUGAAUCAUGGCUAAGGAACUCGGCAAAAUGGCCCUGUAACUUCGGGAGAAGGGGCGCUUCCUCCAGCGAUGGAGAAGCCGCAGUGAAAAGGCCCAGGCGACUGUUUAUCAAAAACACAUGGCUUUGCGAAAUCGAGAGAUGAAGUAUAAGGCCUGACACCUGCCCGGUGCCGGAAGGUUAAGGGGGGACGUUACUGCGCAAGUGGGAAGCGUUGAACCGAAGCCCCGGUAAACGGCGGCCGUAACUAUAACGGUCCUAAGGUAGCG
rnacentral:rRNA from 1 species